CUUUCUUCUAUUCUGGCAAAGAGUCAAGCUAGCAACCGUGAAGAUGCCGAAUUCAUGCAACUCCAUCUUACUCCAACUCUCAGUAUUUCACGGCGUUUGUACCAGCGGCAUAGUAACUAAAAACUACCGUGAACACAGCUUAUUUAUUGUUUCUGGAGGGCCUCACGGAUGAGCUAUUCAUCGGCGGCACCCUGCCAGUCGUUUAGAGGAUCUGCGGGAACAAAUGAACAAGCAGAGUGUCAUAAGUCAGGGACCAGCAUCCAUGCCAACUGCCCGGGAUGACUGCUAAGGCAAUUCAUAUUCUCUCUCAAUCGUCAGCCACCAUAUGAUGUUAAUUGAUCUUGAUCUUCCCCACUCGCCAGUUCUGAAGACACUUCGGAUCUCACAUUAACUUCAUUCAGUCUUUAAGAAUAACCAUAGUAAUAUGCAUCUCAAAGCUAUGGCUCAUGCGCCC